AGCACCAAUCCACGGAAAGAUACCAUAUUUAAAAUCACAAAAUACUUUUGUGGACUCGGAGACGACCCAGAUUAGAAUUAACUUUAUAUAAACUCCUGAAAUAAAAGUGAAAAAUGAAACAUAAAUGCCCCCCCUUCAGCUCCGCUGUGAGAAGGAUGAUCAUUUACCUGUACCUGCGCACAGUAAGACUCUGAGGACACUUCUUCCUAAUCAGAAGUGAGCGACUCCUCAUCCAGCCGUCCGCGCAUCUGAACGGCGAGUCACACACAGACCUUCCAGGCGUCGUUGCCAGUUCGGAGGCGACACUGCUGUCAUUAAGGGAACCUGUGCGCGAGUUGGCGGAGGACCGUCUCGCGGAGUCCUCCGUCCUCGCCGAGUGGGAGGGUCACCCCGGAGGGACUAAUAAGGGCAGAGAUGCGUCCCCCUUCCCCACUCGCCCGCAGUGCCGCAGCCCGGUCCGGACGCCGGUGCGCCUCGGAGGGGCUCCCAGGCGCGUUCCAGAUCUGUGGCCACUUGUUCCCAUGGUUUCAAGUCACGAUGAGGGACACGGGCUCUUGGAAACUUUGGCUCUGGGGGACAAUGUUCCUGUUUCCUGCUUCCACCUCCGUGACUGUCAGAGGCAAGCCAGAAAGGCCAUGUCCUAUACUGAGAACAGAAGAACAUCAAUUGGCACAAAACAACAGAAAUAAACUUGAAGUUUCAGGUUUUGAUCUAGGAGAGAGUUUUUCUCUGAGACGUGCAUUUUGUGAAGGUGAUAAAACUUGUUUCAAAUUGGGAAGUGCACUUCUUAUGAGAGACACUAGUAAGGUGUUUCCCAGAGGCCUUCCCGAGGAGUACGCGGUCUCAGCCGUGUUUCGCGUACGCAGAAACACUAAAAAGGAACGGUGGUUUCUGUGGCAGGUGUUAAGCCAGCAGAAUAUGGCACAGGUCUCUGUAGUGGUUGAUGGUGGAAAGAAGGUAGUGGAAUUGAUGAUUCAAGCUGCUGAGGGAGAUGUGUUGAGCUUCGUCUUUAAAAAUCGAGAACUCCGCCCUCUGUUUGAUCGUCAGUGGCAUAAACUUGGCAUCAGCAUACAAUCCCGGGCCAUCUCACUCUAUGUGGAUUGUAACUUAAUUGCAAGCCGGCAGACUGAGGAGAAGGACGCGGUGGAUUUUCGUGGACGGACAGUUAUUGCUGCCCGAGCUUCCGAUGGCAAGCCUGUUGACAUUGAACUUCAUGAACUUAAAAUCUACUGUAAUGCAAAUUUCGUAGCUCAAGAAACAUGCUGUGAGAUAUCAGAUACUAAGUGCCCAGAGCAGGAUGGCUUUGGCAGUAUUACAUCAUCAUCGGUCACUGCUCAUGCCGGCAAAAUGUCUGCAUAUCUGCCAGCAAGGCAGGAACUUCCAGACCGGUGCCAGUGCAUUCCAAACAAGGGAGAAGCAGGAUUACCAGGAGCUCCGGGCUUGCCUGGCGAGAAAGGGGAAAAAGGAGAGCCGGGCACAGUUGGGAGUAAAGGUGAAUUUGGUACUCCUGGGAUUCCUGGAGAGAAGGGAGAAAAUGGUUCACAGGGUGCUCCAGGCUUACCUGGCCAAAAAGGUGAACAAGGCGAAAAAGGAGACCCAGGUCUGGCUGGACUUAAUGGAAAAAAUGGUUGGAAAGGUGACUUGGGUCCUCCUGGUCCCCCUGGCCCCAAAGGAGAAAAGGGAGAUAUGGGACCUCCAGGACCACCAGCUUUAACUGGUUCCCUGGGGAUACAAGGGCCCCAAGGCCCACCUGGAAAAGAGGGUCAGAGGGGAAGACGAGGGAAGACAGGACCCCCAGGAAAACCAGGACCCCCGGGACCACCUGGACCUCCUGGAAUGCAAAGAAUACAACAGUCUCUGGGUGGAUAUUAUAACAAGGGUAACCGUGAACACGGAGCUGGUGGCCUGAAAGGAGAAAAGGGUGAAACUGGACUCCCAGGAUUUCCAGGGUCUGUUGGUCCUAAAGGACAAAAAGGAGAACCCGGGGAACCUUUUACAAAAGGUGAAAAGGGGGACAAAGGAGAACCUGGAAUGAUAGGAUCUCAAGGAAUAAAGGGUGAACCUGGAGAUCCUGGUCCCCCUGGCUUUACAGGAAGCCCAGGACUAAAGGGUCAGCAAGGACCCACAGGCGCCAUGGGCCCCAGAGGACUACCAGGAGAUGUUGGAUUGCCAGGAGAACAUGGUAUCCCAGGAAAAGAAGGCGUUAAAGGAGAAAAGGGAGAUCCAGGUGGGAUCGUAGGCCCUCCUGGGCUUCCAGGUCCAAAAGGUGAGGCUGGUCCUCCAGGGAAGAGCCUGCCAGGGGAACCAGGACUAGAUGGAAAUCCUGGAACAGCUGGUCCACGUGGGCCAAAGGGAGAAAGAGGUCUGCCAGGUGUUCAUGGCUCCCCAGGUGACACAGGCCCGCCGGGGAUAGGUAUUCCUGGCCGAACAGGUUCUCAAGGACCAGCUGGUGAGCCAGGAAUUCAGGGUCCUCGAGGUCUCCCUGGGUUGCCAGGAGCUCCAGGGACCCCAGGGAAUGAUGGAGCUCCAGGGAGGGAUGGAAAGCCCGGCCUGCCAGGCCCCCCAGGUGACCCGAUUGCACUUCCUCUCUUGGGAGACAUCGGUGCCUUGCUCAAGAACUUCUGUGGCAACUGCCAUCCCAGUGUCCCUGGGUUGAAAAGCAACAAAGGAGAAGAAGGAGAUGCUGGUGAGCCUGGAAAGUAUGAUUCCAUAGCCCAGAAGGGUGACCUAGGGCCUCGGGGGCCUCCAGGAAUCCCAGGCAAAGAGGGACCAAAGGGGAGCAAAGGAGAACGAGGCUACCCUGGGAUACCUGGGGAGAAAGGUGAUGAGGGUCUGCAAGGACUUCCAGGCAUUCCAGGUGCUCCAGGCCCUACUGGACCCCCCGGCUUACUGGGAAGAACUGGACAUCCUGGUCCCACGGGAGCAAAGGGUGACAAGGGCAAUGAAGGUCCCCCUGGGAAACCCGGACCACCAGGACCACCUGGUGUACCAUUCAGUGAGGGAAACGGCAUGAGCAGUUUGUAUAAAAUCCAGGGAAAUGUUCCCAGUUACCCAGGGCCACCCGGUCCCCCUGGCCCAAAAGGCGAUCCUGGCCCAGUGGGAGAGCCUGGUGCAAUGGGGUUGCCCGGACUAGAAGGAUUUCCGGGUGUAAAGGGAGAUCGAGGCCCAGCAGGACCCCCGGGAAUAGCUGGGGUAUCGGGAAAACCAGGGGCCCCGGGGCCUCCAGGCGUUCCAGGAGAACCGGGUGAGAGAGGACCCGUUGGAGAUAUAGGUUUCCCUGGACCAGAAGGACCCUCAGGAAAACCAGGAAUAAAUGGUAAAGAUGGAUUACCAGGUGCUCAGGGCAUCAUGGGAAAACCUGGAGACAGAGGACCCAAAGGAGAACGCGGUGACCAGGGAAUUCCAGGAGACAGAGGCCCACAAGGUGAACGGGGAAAACCAGGUCUUACAGGAAUGAAGGGGGCUGUAGGUCCUAUGGGGCCACCAGGAACCAAAGGCUCUAUGGGAUCCCCCGGCCACCAAGGCCCCCCAGGGUCUCCAGGCAUCCCUGGCACUCCGGUUGAUGCAGUUUCAUUUGAUGAAAUAAAGAAGUAUAUCAAUCAAGAGGUCCUAAGGAUUUUUGAAGAGAGGAUGGCUGUGUUCCUGUCCCAGCUCAAGCUGCCAGCAGCAAUGUUGGCUGCCCAAGCUCAUGGGAGGCCUGGACCACCAGGGAAGGAUGGGUUGCCUGGGCCACCAGGAGAUCCUGGUCCCCAAGGCUACAGAGGGCAGAAAGGAGAAAGAGGUGAACCUGGAAUUGGGCUGCCAGGGAGUCCAGGUCUUCCUGGGACUUCAGCUCUGGGUUUGCCAGGCUCACCAGGGGCCCCAGGGCCCCAGGGACCCCCAGGACCCAGUGGAAGAUGUAACCCAGAAGAUUGCCUGUAUCCUGUGUCUCAAGGCCAUCAGCAGACAGGUGGGAAGUGAACACACCUGAGGAAGACGUGGUUCCUGGUGAUACCUCAUUGCCGUCAGAGGGAUCUUAAUGCUGUCUGUCAAAUCUUCACGCUAUGUGGGCUUUUUUUCUUUUUUCCGGAAUUGAGCUCAAUUCAAAGAAAUCACCACUAGUAUGAACCUGUACUACAUGAAAGGGAAAGAGUGAAUUCCAAUUGUGUCUGAGUUUCACAAGAAAAGCCUAACGCUCUGCGGUCCCGUCACUGAGUUUCUCAUUUGGUAAACAGCUGUUUUCUCUAAGAGAUGUUUGGUGGUGACGGUGUACCAAGCUGCCUUGGAUACUCUUGAAGCUUAAAUGGCUUAGCAAGAUCUCUGGGACCCUGAAUCCAUUAUCCUUCUGACCUCAUCACCCUCAGACUUUAAGGCAAGAACUGGCCAUUGGAGAAAAGGACAGGAUUUGUAGCGAGUGGAAAAGCAAUCUCCUUGCCUGAGAAGAUGAAUAUGGUGUAGUGUCAGCACGUGAAUAUUGAGAAAGCAAAGCUCAAAAUCUCUGAAAGAGAAUAAUAUUUCUCUAUAAACUGUAGCAAGAGGUACUUUCAGUGAAGGAAAAUCAUGGGACUGAAUAUGCAACUCCGCCCUCAAACCAAAGAGUUAACAGUUCAAAACCUUAUCUUCUGAAAGGAAACCAAACUAUAGUGAUCAUCAAACAAACUACUGAAGCAUUUCUAUUAACUAGCUACACAUUAUUUUGAUAACUGUUGGUUGAAAACACCUGAUUUUCUCGAAUAGCGGGCAUGAGGAUGCUGCUGAAAUUUAGGGGGAUAGGUCCCACAGACACUGGGAGGAUUGCAUCAGAGCUCUACUGUCACAGAAGUCAGGGUUCACAUCUUCAAGAAGCAGUGCAGAUUUCAACUUGGCUAAACUAGGGUAGGGUGAUUGCUUUUGUCUGUUUCCUGAGAAAUGAGUUUGGAAAGACAAGCCCACUGAAAUUAGAAAAAGCUGUGAACAGAAUUGCAUCUGAGGAGCAUGCUAAAUUAAGUGUGCACCUGUGAUUUGAACUGGUUUGCAUUAUCAGUGAAUGAUCUGCUGGUCAGCUUCUGUCUACAUAGCUGUGUAUACAUACAACAUUUUAGUUAUUUCAUAUUGAGUUAUACUGUGUAUUUCAAGUCCGAGUUUAUUUAUUUUCCAAGGUUAUUUUAUUUAAGUGUUUUUAAAUGGAUUUUUUAAAAUUUUCUUUCUUGUGCAAUACCUACAAUGGUGCUGUGUUUUAAACUCACACAAUUGGAAUACACAUAUGUGUUUUCUUAGUAAAAUGAUAAUUUAUCCCAAAAAAGUGUACAUAGAUCUAAAAUUUGGUGCUAUGUGUAUAUCUUGAGCUUUUAAUUUGUUGAAUUUUCUGAAAGCUUUAUCUGCCACUCAUAUUAAUUUACUUGAAUUUGUCCUAAAGAUAAACAUUUUAUAUGUUUUCAAAGAUUAUUUUUUCAUAUUAAUAGGUUGUUUAUCUUUUUGCCUCUUAGCUAAUUUAAAAAUAUUCAUUUUAUCACUAUAAUUUUUGUCGACUUUUUUGCUGAUGAUAAUCAAUUUUUGGAGGAGGAGUUUUUUAGUUGAAACUUUCACAUGCAUAAACAGAUACAAUUUGUUUUCUUUUUUCUUUUUUUAGCUUCUUUUUUUUUAUUAAAUCAUAGCUGUGUACAUUAAUUCAAAUUUGUUUUCUUAUUUUACAAAUUCUGUCCAUUUUUAAUCUACAACAAAUGUUAGGUAUCCUUCCUUGUAAAUUGUAUAUUUGGCAGUGUUUUGUUGUUUUUUUUUCCCUAGAUUCCAUUAAUGGUUAACUGGUUAAUUCCUAUUUCAAAGAUCUUGGUUAAUUCAGGAAAUUUGAGAAGGGGAGGAAAUGGAAAUAGCAUGCUGUGUGACACAUUAUUACAAGGGAAACCAUCAAGCUCAUUUUUUCAUAACUGGGAAAUGUGAUUACCUUUGACAUAACUAGAAAGAUGAGGCUGUAUUCCCAUGGCCCAAGCCUCUCCCACCCACUCUAUGAUUUACUGCAGAUAAUUUGUUCUGCCUCAGCUCUGUGCCCCUAAUAUGCAACAGAGCCCAGAAAGAAGUUCUGGGUCCACCUAAUACAACACCAAAUGGAGCGGAGAUUGGAAAUUGCCAAAUUCCUUUAAUAAAAAGAAAGUAAAUAAUUUAGGCCCCAAAUCAGGGUGGGAAAUGUUCCUGUAAAUAACUUGGUGGUUGCCAAAUCUCUUCUGCCAUAUCCCAUCCAAGAUAAGCAUUUAUUGACACAAAGAUGUCAGAGAUGUCACCACAGGGGGAAAAGAAUCAUUAAAUUUCAUGAAUUAGCUCGUUGUUGCUCCAGAUAACCAUGUGAGUGUUUAAAUAAAAGUAAUCAUGGGUCAUGAUGACAGUUAAUAUUAAAACUGUGUUUUCCAUGUUCUCAUAUGUUUGAAUUCCAGUCUUAACAUUUCUAUUCGAAGAUCAAUUAACACUUUCAGAUGGAAGUCUUUCUAGGCAAACAGUAAGAGGAGACUCCAGUUAAUAUGUGUGGUCUUUGGAAUAUAAAGGAAAAAUAAUGCAUGAAUUUCUUCCUUGUUAUUUCCAGCUGAAGACACUAACCAUUCUAACUGUACUAGAAACACAGCCAGUCUUAACCUUUCAAACUUGGUACCUGUGAUCAAUUAAAGUAACCCCAUAUGCUUAUUUCUAUAUUCCAUGAUAAUUGUUGAAACUUUAAAAUUUUAGUCACUUUCUAGAGCUUUAGGAAUUAUUUGAAGAUAUGUUGUGUGUAAAAAUUGUAGUUUGAUAUUUGGCUCAUAAGGUAAUUCUUUAUAAAUAUGUUUUGGGAGUUAAAAACGUUGAUUUUUUUCUUCGGUCUCUCUCAUCUGCUGGGAACCUCUGAUAUACCUCCUCUGUCCACCAGAUGGCGUUAAAAGCAAUUUGUUCAGAAGAACUGAACAGACUCACAGAAACUACAGAGCUAGGAACAAUUAGAGUGGACAAUUAAAUCAGACCUUUGUCCUUGCACAUUUUUUUUUUAACUUUUGUAAUGACUUUUUUGUAUACUCAUGUUUUUCCUAAUUUUAAGUAUCUUUAUGAAGCAGGCACUAUAUCUUUUGAUUGGUUGACUGUUUCACUUUUCUUUCUUCAGUGGAUGUAUACGUAUACACACGCACACAUUUAUAUGCCCGGUUAACAUACACACUUACUAUUCAUCACUUUGUACACUACCCUCCUAUUUUAGUGAUGAAUAUGAAGACACCUAAGUAGUCUACCUACCUUUCAGACAGGACACAUACUCUCUUUUGAGAGACAAAUAAAAAGAUUUAGCUUAUCACAAGAAAUAAGCAAUUUAUAAAACUACACAUUGUCUAAACUCCAUAAUGUUAAAAUUUUACAGUCAGCUUUGAAUGAGGUUUCUAUUUUUCUAAACAUGUAUCACUAUUUACAAAAGUAAAGUUUAGGAACACUGUUUUUUCAAAAUACCAUUUUGACUUUCCUAACGUUUAUAGUAAUGGGAUCAAGGAUUUCUAGGGCAAGUGUUAUGCUGGAGCUGUUUUAAUAAAUCCUCAGAAUAGUUUUGCAGAGUUUCCCAUUUCUCUUGUUCUUCAACUAUUUUUCACAUUUGUCUGUGUCCACUUUCUGGAGACACAGAAGUGUUUCCUAUCAGAGUUUCCCCUCUCGUUUCUUAACGCUUCGGGCUUGAGCACUGCUAUUGAUACCAUUGCCUCUCUGAAAGAUUACACAGGCUUCUAUGAAUAAGAGGAAUACAUACAGAAAAGAAUUGGAUUUUUAUUUUUGAAGCCCAGGUACUUUAAAGUAGCUUAGCCCAUGGAAUCAUAUCCAUUUGUUAGUUGGCUAGUGAAGUAGCAUAAAUUACAUUAAAUUUGUUCAACUACUGGGAGUUUCAGGACAAAAGACAAAUGGUAGUCUUCAUUUUUAAGGUGUGGUAUGGCUGGAGCUAUAAUCCACACAUUUUGCUCAACAACUCAACAAAAUUAUAAUAGAGGAACCAAUCAAUUAAGUUAAAUUGACUGAAGCAUGGAGUUAACACAGAGAAAACUCCUUCAGACAAAUAGAUCCAGCAUAGAAAAAAAUUUACCUGAAAGAUAUGACAAGCUUGUAAGACCACAGCUAAAUCUAAGAAAAUCAUAUGGGAAAAAAAUUUCAAGUUCAAAUCCAAUCAUGGGUGAAAAUUUCAAGUUCAGACCCAAUAGCAAAGUGAUGUGUGGGACAACUCAAGGAGUUAUCUAACUUACUUCAUGGACGCUAAUAACAUAGGAGGUUUCACUAAAAUUAGAGGGCAGUGAAAACAAGAUUUAACUUUGUCAGAAGUAUGAGUGUUGCUUGCCCAUGAUAAGACUGUGGAUGUAAAGAUGCUAGUUAUUUUACAACUUUUCAUUUUGCUGUGCUAAGGUUUAUUUUAAGGAUAAAUAUUUUCAGUGUAUUAAUGUUUUUAAAUUCAGAUUGUAUUGGGCGUAUUUUAUAACUAUUUAUUUUUAAAAUAACUUUCAGGGUGCAUUUUUCCCUGUUCUGUUUGUUCUUUAUCUUAUUUUAUCAAACUAUUUAUGGUUUAAUUUAAUAGACUCCCGUUAAGUGGAAUGACACUAGUUUUAUUCUAAAUCAAAGGAGGCCUUUGAUUCCUAUAUGUUCAUUACGCACAUUAAGCUUGUUGAAUAUCUCAGCAAUAAAGGAUUUGACACUAAAUCAGGGAAUUGUAAGGUGCAGUUAUUAAUGCCAUAUCUACACUUCAUGACUUCUAGUGGCUGAAGUGCCACACUUCAUUCUAAGUGUCAACUGCAGGGAUGUUCCCAAAGUGUUCUG